rnacentral:rRNA from 1 species
CGGCUGCAGUCAAGAAUAUUCCUCAAUGGCCGAAAGGCUGAAGGAGCGACGUCGCGUGCAUGAUGAAACCCCUCGGGGCGUAAAGUGCUUUUAUUUGGGACGAAACAAUGACGGUACCAAAUGAAUAAGGGGCUGCUAAACUCGUGCCAGCAGCAGCGGUAAUACGAGUGCCCCUAGCGUUAUCCGGAUUUAUUGGGCGUAAAGCGUACGUAGGCGGUUUAUCGCAUCUCCUGUUAAAUCACGAGGCUCAACCUCGUGGCUGCGGGAGAGAUGGAUAAACUAGAGGUCGGAAGAGGCAAGCGGAAUUGCUGGUGUAGGGGUUAAAUCCGUUAAUAUCAGCAGGAACACCAAAUGUGAAGACAGCUUGCUAGAACGAUCCUGACGCUAAGGUACGAAAGCGUGGGUAGCGAAUGGGAUUAGAUACCCGUGUANUC